AAAAAAGUGUUAUUUUAGACGCAGUAUUUGCAGCAUACUGUAGUUAUACUGCACUCUUUUUUUUCGUAAAGGUAGCUAGUGGAAAUAAGUUAGUCCUUGAACCUGCUACAAGAUGAUGCUGCCCAGCCAGAGCUACCUGCUGCAGAAACGUCAGAUUUCUCCAUGACUUCCUCUAACUAACUUAGGAGAAAAGCACAGUAUGGCAUCUGAGCAGAUCAUCAUCAACUUGAUGUAGUUACAUCAGCCAAUACAGGGAGCAGCCACGGAUGGACCUGGGAGGGCAUACUUGGGAGCCAGGCUCACCCAACUGAACAAAAUUGGCUUGCAACAGCUGGCUGGCUAGCUACUCGUGUGCAUGCAAUUAAGGUGUUGGCUUGACAGUUGCUGGA
rnacentral:lncRNA from 1 species